rnacentral:rRNA from 1 species
UACGUAGGGGGCUAGCGUUGUCCGGAAUCAUUGGGCGUAAAGCGCGUGCAGGCGGCCCGGUAAGUCCGCUGUGAAAGUCGGGGGCUCAACCCUCGGAAGCCGGUGGAUACUGUCGGGCUGGAGUACGGAAGAGGCGAGUGGAAUUCCUGGCGUAGCGGUGAAAUGCGCAGAUAUCAGGAGGAACACCAAUUGCGAAGGCAGCUCGCUGGGACGUAACUGACGCUGAGACGCGAAAGCGUGGGGAGCAAACAGG